CUUGUCUCCUGCCCCUGAUGAGAGUAGCCUAGAGGAAGGGAGCCCAGGCAGGUGCCCCUUCAGGCUGAAGCAGGUGAGUCACCUAGCAAAGCCGAGUGAAGCCUUGAGAGGAUGCUACUUGGGCCAGAAGAACCUUGGGGUAAAUAGGUCCCAACUGUGCCUGUGGACCCCAAGAGGGGCCACCAGACUUCCUCGCCAAGGCAGCAUCUCCCCAGCAGUGGUGCUUCAUGAAUCGGCAACAUGUGGUUUCCAAGUUGGCUGUCCUUGCUGGAAGGGAUAGCAUAGCCGCUUCUUCAGCUUUCCUCUACUUGAUGUUCCUGGAGGCAACAUUGCGGCCCUAGUCACUGUGUUUCUUAUAAUCUUGAACAAGUCGCUUCUCUUUGUCCAAUGGUAAAAUGAAGAGAUGGAUGAGAGGAUAUCACAGAUCUCCACCAACUUUGACAAAUCUCCAGUCCAAGGACCAGGAUGUGCUGUUCUCUCAACCAUGUUCCUUAAUGCGGUAUCUGUGAAGAAUCUAGGCGCAUUUUCCAUUGCCAGGCUCUAGGUGCUCCAGCUUCAGUAGUUGUGGCUUACGGGCUCAGCUGCUAUGAGGCAUGUUGGAUCUUCCUGGACCAGGGAUCAAACCCAUGUCUGCUGCACCAGCUGCCAGACUCCCAGCCCACUGAACCACCAGGGAAGUCCCUCAAUGGCUUUUUAAACAUUGGAAUUCUUCAAGUGUUUGUAAUAUUGCCCUGCAGACCUCUGUUUCCCUUUCUCUGUCUGUCACAGACACAAAGACACAAACACACACCCACACACAAAAUAUCUUUAGAGUCUGGAAUCUCAAAAAACAAAUAAAAGAAAGAAGAUGCAUAGGUGUUACCAAUUCAGGAGGACAAGUUUCUCUUACAAGGACAGACAGCUUAGUAACCUUAGACGUCUUUCUCACUACUUAUAGUUCUGGGAACUAUGCAAAAUUAAUAUUUUAUCAGCAUCUUAUAUAGGAUUUGUCAUAUAGGUAUUAAAUACAUAAUUGUUGAAU
ensembl:lncRNA